GACGAACGCUGGCGGCGUGCUUAACACAUGCAAGUCGAGCGGUAAGGCCCUUUCGGGGUACACGAGCGGCGAACGGGUGAGUAACACGUGGGUGACCUGCCCUCAGCUCUGGGAUAAGCCUGGGAAACCGGGUCUAAUACCGGAUAUGACUCCAUGACGCAUGUUGUGGGGUGGAAAGCCUUGUGCGGCUGAGGAUGGGCCCGCGGCCUAUCAGCUUGUUGGUGGGGUGANGGCCUACCAAGGCGACGACGGGUAGCCGGCCUGAGAGGGCGACCGGCCACACUGGGACUGAGACACGGCCCAGACUCCUACGGGAGGCAGCAGUGGGGAAUCUUGCGCAAUGGGCGAAAGCCUGACGCAGCGACGCCGCGUGAGGGAUGACGGCCUGG
rnacentral:rRNA from 1 species